UACGUAUGGGGCGAGCGUUGUCCGGAAUCAUUGGUCGUAAAGGGUUCGUAGGCGGUUUAUUAAGUCGAGUGUGAAAGGUUGGGGCUCAACCCCAUAAAGCAUUCGAAACUGAUAAACUUGAGAUGUGGAGAGGAAAGUGGAAUUCCUAGUGUAGCGGUGACAUGCGUAGAUAUUAGGAGGAAUACCAGUAGCGAAGGCGACUUUCUGGACACAUACUGACGCUAAGGAACGAAAGCGUGGGGAGCAAACAGGAUUAGAUACCCCGGUAGUCCCUGAGCGGG
rnacentral:rRNA from 1 species